GAUGAACGCUGGCGGCGUGCCUAAUACAGGCAAGUCGAGCGAACAGACGAGGAGCUUGCUCCUCUGACGUUAGCGGCGGACGGGUGAGUAACACGUGGAUAACCUACCUAUAAGACUGGGAUAACUUCGGGAAACCGGAGCUAAUACCGGAUAAUAUAUUGAACCGCAUGGUUCAAUAGUGAAAGACGGUUUUGCUGUCACUUAUAGAUGGAUCCGCGCCGCAUUAGCUAGUUGGUAAGGUAACGGCUUACCAAGGCGACGAUGCGUAGCCGACCUGAGAGGGUGAUCGGCCACACUGGAACUGAGACACGGUCCAGACUCCUACGGGAGGCAGCAGUAGGGAAUCUUCCGCAAUGGGCGAAAGCCUGACGGAGCAACGCCGCGUGAGUGAUGAAGGUCUUCGGAUCGUAAAACUCUGUUAUUAGGGAAGAACAAAUGUGUAAGUAACUAUGCACGUCUUGACGGUACCUAAUCAGAAAGCCACGGCUAACUACGUG
rnacentral:rRNA from 1 species